AAAUGCAGCAAUAGGUUUAGUGAGGAUGGAUGACUGCCAACUUCUUUCCAUUUUCUUACUGGACAUUCAAUCAGAUUAUGCCCCAGUCUCCCAUGCAAAUAGAUGCAACCAUGUAACAGAGUUGUGGCCAACGGAAUGGGCAGAAGUAACAUGGGCCCUGCCAGCUGCUGCUGCCCCCGAGACAGUAAGACCGACUCCUCCUCUUUCUCCUCCUCUUCAUCCUACUCUAUGUGAAGACAAGAAUGAAGAUCUUUGUGACGAUCCACUUCCAGUGAAUGAUUACUAAGAGUAUCCACGUGACCUGGACCUGGGUGAGUGGGUCCUAGAAAAAUUUUUGCUUUCUUGCUACUCUUCCUUCUUCUCACUGGAAUGUAAAUGUAAAGGGUGGAGCUGCAGCAGCCAUCUUGCUAUCACAAAAGAAAGACUGAGAGAACAGCAGAAGAGUUGACCUUAAUGUUGUUGAACCACUGAAUCAACGCUGUAAACAAUCUAUCUCCAAAAUUCUUGGUAUGUGAGAAACUAAACUACUGUUUAUUUAAGUUGGGUUGUCUGUUAAGUGCAGCUGAAUGUCUUCCUAAUUGAUACAGAAAUGCAUUUAAAAAAUAGCAUGCACACUUUUUAGUAUGAGCUAAGAAAAUGAGUAAGAACACAGCACAUUGAACCCAAUUUUGCAUUUGCAAUCCCCAAAGAACCCUGGUACACUUUUGUAGAAUAUUAAUGUGAAACCUAAGUUUGGGGAAUGUCUCUGAUGAGAAGUUGGGAAACAGAAAUAGAUGAGACCUAUCUAUGGUGCAAAGAUAAAUUUUGGUUAGAAAGAAAAGAGCAAGAACAUGCACAAAAAUGUGUGGCAGAACCAGGCUGUGGGCAGGAACCAGAGGAGCUGUCUACUAUGGUUGUAUUUAAUAUGACUGCUGAGGACAAAGCUCUGAUUUUUUUAUCUGGCCCAAAUUCCUAUCUAAGGUGUCUGGAGAGUCAUGCCUUACAAACCAUACAUUCUCAUCAGAUGGGUUUUAUUUAACCCCAUAUAUUGUGACUUUCCAAUCUGACUCUGGCAUAAUA
rnacentral:lncRNA from 1 species